AUUGAACGCUGGCGGCAUGCUUUACACAUGCAAGUCGAACGGUGACAGGCCUUCGGGUGCUGACGAGUGGCGAACGGGUGAGUAAUGCAUCGGAACGUACCCAGAGGUGGGGGAUAACGCAGCGAAAGCUGUGCUAAUACCGCAUGUGAUCUGAGGAUGAAAGCGGGGGACCGAGCAGCAAUGUUUGGCCUCGCGCCUUUGGAGCGGCCGAUGUCGGAUUAGCUAGUUGGUGGGGUAAAGGCCUACCAAGGCGACGAUCCGUAGCUGGUCUGAGAGGACGACCAGCCACACUGGGACUGAGACACGGCCCAGACUCCUACGGGAGGUAGCAGUGGGGAAUUUUGGACAAUGGGCGCAAGCCUGAUCCAGCAAUGCCGCGUGCGGGAAGAAGGCCUUCGGGUUGUAAACCGCUUUUGGCAGGAACGAAACGGUGUCCGCUAAUACCGGGCGCUAAUGACGGUACCUGCAGAAUAAGCACCGGCUAACUACGUG
rnacentral:rRNA from 1 species